AUGCGCUUUCGUCCUGUUCUUAAACCAUACAUCCGUGUUCACUUUUAUCUCCUACAGCACUUUGGAUGGGCGCCAAGUGCCAACCAUUGUUUUAAAUUUAUUGUUUUGAGCCUUCCAAAUAAACCAAAGAGUCACCACAAAAAUCGUUUGUAUUAACUUCUUUAACUGUUCAGCUACAUUUACUAGUUUAGACACUCUGGGAGAUCAAGAAUUUCCAACACCGAGUUGCCAAUUGAAGCUGUGAUCCCAUACCAAUUUUGAAUAUGAUCAUCUGUCGCUUAAUCAUCACAUCGCACACAACCUGACGAGCUGAAGUUGAUUAUUCUUGCAAUUCACUUUUUAAGUAUGGGAUUGAGUUUGAAAAAAACCGAUUAGUCAAUAAGUCAUUUUGACUUAUUGACUUACUCGCUUUUUCCAAAUGACUUAUUGGCUCCAAUAAGUUAAUAAGUCAUUUCCAAACUCAAUCCCAAACACCCCCUAUAUGGUAUUUUUCUCAUUGCAUAAUAAUUUAACAAGAACUUUAACGAAAGUUAGUAUUUGAACCCUAAAUUAUACAAUGUUUUAAUGCAUUUGAACAUAUGAGUAAUAACUUUAAGAGGUUUUGUUUUAAACUACAAUUAUACUUAGUAAAACAUGAAUACUUUCUAUUAAUUUAAUAUUAAUCGACAUACUAUAUUUUCAAUGAAUGACAAUUGAAACCAAUGGGUUAUAUACUUCUACUAUGAUGAAAAAAACCAUGAAGACACUUUGACUUAUGUUUCGCUUUUCAUUGCGUUUACCAGUGAGUGUUCCGACUUUAGGACUUUGUUUGAGCCAACUCUAGUGGGUCAAAGUGGGAAAGAGAAGCACAAGGUUCAUACCAUUUCGGUCGGUCUUUGCAAAGCGGUCCUUAUACAUCGAAGUCAUGUAUUUGCAGCACGUUGUCUCUACUAUAUGAUGUUUGAGGACAAAGAGGGAAGGCCUUCCUAGGACAUACAACAUUUUUCUGGAAAAAAAUUAUAGUGGCUCAAACCACAUGUUUAUUGGAUCAUUGGAGGAACACAUGAUUAUGAUGAAAGAUAAGAAAAAAUUAAGAUAGUGUCUCAAACCAAAGUUUUUUGUUUAUGUUAAUUAUUUAUUUGUUAUUAUUUUUGUAUUAGAAGCUAUAACAUUAUAAGUUUACAAAAUGUAUGCAAGUGAAAGUCAAUCUGAAGCACUUAUGAGUUAUCACCCUA